UGGACUCUGACGGUGAUCGGCUUCAUCAUCAUUUUCGUCGACGUCGAUGGCGUGGUGUCCGUUUCCGAGAAUUCCCAUCCGCUUAUCGGAUGUAUCACCACUGUUUUUGGCACGAAGAAACGCAGCCGUCCGAGAUGUAUUUAAGGGUGAUGCCCCGAGAGAUGAAACGGUACUUUUAUUUAAUAGAAAAAAUCAGCUUAAUUUGAAUUGCACCAUAAAACUUGAGCUGUCUCUGAAUCGGAUUGUAAAGGGAUCUCUUGGAAGGGAAAUCAUCGUCGUCUGUUACACCUGCAUUUUUGUUGAGCUAGGUUUUACCGUCAUUGCCUUCAUCGCUCAUUGUAAUGACUUUUCCGAUUAUUUUAGGAAGAUAGAACUUUCGAUAUUUUUAAAUUUGCAUUGAGACUUUUAAUUAACGCUCUGCCACUGUGUAAAGAAUCCAAGAAUGACUUCGCCAUUAGUUUCUAAAUGUUGCAAUGCCGAUUUUAGCAAAGAUUCUCGUCAAGAUAGGUAGAUUCCUGUGUUUGGGGGGAUUAAAUCGAUGGUAUUUUAUAAGUA